AAUGAGUGAUAUGAUAAAAAAUUUAAGUUUUAAAGGGAUAAUUAUGGAAACUAAUCCUAUUGUCUGUAGGAAAAUAAAAUAAAUAUUUUAAUUUCUAGUAAGCUACCAAAGAGUAAAAUUAAAGGUAUAUAAUUUCAAUUAUCACAUAUGUGAUAAUCAGGUUUAAUUACCAUGUUAAAUUAUCAGGUAGUAAAUAUAACUAGAUAUUUCCUAAAGGGAAACCAAUUAACGAAGAACAUAGGGAACUGAAUCAUCAAAGUACCUAUAGGAAAAGAAAAUAACAAUGAUAUUUUAAGUAGUGGCGAGCGAAAGAAAUAUUUUUCAAUUAAUCUUGAUUAAUUGUUAAUCUUCAAGUAGAGCGAGUUAUAAAUUGUUCGAAUAAAGGAGAACCAAUCUUCUAAGAUAUAAAUAUAGACAAUAGAGUGAUAGAGAAAAGUACCGUGAGGGAAAGUUAUAAAUAGUUAUUCUAUAAGCUAUGGAAGAAUAAUUAAAUAAAUUAUUCAACCAUGUACCUUUUGCAUCAUGGGUCAGCAAGUUAAUUAAAUUUGCAAGUGGAAACUAAGUUAAUACGAAAAUUAAACAUUAUCUCUGAUAAUGUGUGAGUAAAUUUAAUUAAACCCGAAACCUUGCGAUCUUACCAUGACCAGUUUUUUAAAGAACGAACUAGUAGGAGUCGCAAAUCCUUUAGAUGAGUUGUGGUAAGCUGUGAAAUACAAAUCUAGCAAGGUGAUAGCUGGUUAUCUACGAAAAAGUUUUAAGACUUGUCAUUAUUAAUUAUUUUUAACAAGUACAGUACUAUUUAAUUCUAGGGGUAAUUAUUAGUUAAUUUUUAUUAAAUUUACUAACUUCUAAAUUAAAUAACCUCGGAAUAUGUUAUUCUUUUUAUAUAAUGAAUUGGACUAUCGGUGAUAAGGUCGAUAGUCGAAAGAGAAACAACUCAGACCAAAGUUAAAGUUCCAAAUUAUUAAUUAAGUGAACAAAAUGAUGGUUAGAUAUUAAGAUAUUCAGAAUCUAAACUUGGAAACAGUUAUGAUUGAAAGAAAACGUAAAAGUUCACUGAAUGAAAUAAUUAAUCAUAAGUAAUGCUUAUUGAUUAAUAAACUUAUUAAUAUAAGUGUAUCUAAUUACAAAAAAUUCAUCGGAUCUAAGUUAAUAACUGAAACUUUGGAAAUAUAAUUAUUUAAUUAAGAAUCCAUUGAUUCUUACAUUUAAUUCUCAUUUAUUUUUAAAUAAAUUAUUGCUAUAAUCUAAAUAAAUCAUUAAUCAUUGCUAUAAUCUAAAUAAAUCAUUAAUCAUAGCUAUAAUCUAAAUCAUUUUUAAAUACAAUUAAUUUUAUUGCUAUUUUCUAUUUUAUUAAUUAACCUUACAUAAGCUAUAUUGAUCUUAAUUAAUCUUAAAUCAUCAGCUAUGCUGAUGUUUAUUUUUAGUCUAAUUAUCUAUUUAUACAGAUAGAUAUAUUAGUUUAUAAGUUUAUUAAUGAGUUUACUCAUUAAUUUGUUAAAUAGAAUUUGCAUAUGUAUUAUCUAAGGAAGCUAUUAUACAAUAUAAUUAAUUUUAUUCUUCAUCAAGGCUAUCAUGUUUUGCAUGGUUCCUAUGAAUCCCACAAGGAUUUAUUAAGGAGAUAAUUAAGAGAUAUAUUCGACAAGAGUUUAAACCAGCUAAGGUGGUACUCUGCAGAGUAUCAUUAUAUAAAUUAUUUAUUUAUUCUUAGCUGGGUUUGAGAAAGAUUUGAUUUGAUUGAAUCUCAGUUUUGUUUUAUUUUAUUAGUUGGGGUGAUACACAGGAUCCUUGUUUAAUAGUAAGUGCCUAAUAUGGCCGGUCCCCCCUGGUACCAAUUUUCGAUUGUUGAAUUGGAAUCAAAGACUCAAGUUGAUAUAAUUUAAAAUGAUCACAAAUAAUGUGAUCUUAAUAGAAUUAUUAGUUAAUUCAUACAGGCAACUAUUAUAUAAUAGUUCCCAUUAAAUUACAAAGUAAUUCUUCUCUAAUUAUCUAGCUAAAGAUAUAUAAUAUCUGAUAUAUAAUAUCUGUAUAGCAAUAUAUUCUUAUGAGUAUAUUAAUUCUAAUUUUAAAUAGAUUUAAUAGAUCCUAAUUUGAUCUAUAUGAUAAUAAUCAAUUGAAUAUUUUGAGAUGUUAUUUAUGAAAAUAAAUAAUUACUAAUAGAAAUAUUUGAUAUUAAUAAUCUCUUAUUAUUGAUUCUUAUUUACGAAUCUUUGAUUGCAUUUUCUAAAUUAAUAUUAGUUGACUACAUCCCUUGUAGUCUCUAUGCAAAUGAUAAAAAAUCAUUGGCUAAAUGUCCAAAAAUAACAUAAUUAUUGCCUUUGAUAUUAAUCUUUUUGGUUAAUCAUCAUUAAAAAUACUUAUAAUAUUUAGGUGAAUAUAAUUUAUUAUUUUGUAUAAUGACUUUUUAAGUGAAUUAUCAUAAUAAAUUUUCUAUUCAUCAAGUUAAUAACCUAUUAAUAGACUUUCUAAACUUAUAAAUUAAUCUGUAAUAAUAUUGUUAACUAAUAAAUUUUAUUCCAAAGACCUAUUUAUAUACUAUCUAGUUAAUUAUUAAAAAUAUUGAAUUUAGUAUUAGAUGGCUAAUUAAAUAUUUAAUUAGAUAAAAGUUGGUUAAAUGAUAAAUAUAUUAAUAAAGAGUAAUGAUUAAUUAAAUUCAAUAGAAUAAUGAGAAAUUAUUUUUAAUGUAAUAAUAUUAAAUAAUAAUAUUUAGUAGUAGAUCGUUCCUUAAAUUAAUCAUAAAUUUUAAUCAUUUUAAUGAUUUAUUAUGAUUUCUAUAGGAAGUGAUAAUGCUGACAUUAGUAACGUAAAAAAAGGUUUAAAUCCUUUUCGCCGUAAACCCAAGGUUUUUGAAAGAACAUUAAAUGUUUUCAAGUAAAUCAAUCUCUAAGAAAAUUAAAUAUCGAUGAGAAAAAGAUAAUAAUCUUUUUAACUGAUAGAAUGUGAUAUUAAAUUCUAAUCUUUCUAGAAAAUUUAACUUAAUUGUACUAAAACUGACACUAGUGGGUUAAAUGUUAAAACAUUAAAGGCGUAGAAAAAAUUAAUCUCAAGGAACUCGGCAAAAUUGCUCCGUACUUUCGAAAUAAGGAGUGGCAAAUAAAGAAUAAAAUAUUAGCAUAGCUAAUAUCUAAAUUAUAAUUAUUUGUCUCAAUAAAUAGCGUUGUACAACUGUUUACUUAAAACACAGCACUAUGCAAAGAUAAUAAUCAUAGUAUAUAGUGUGACUUCUGCUCAAUGUUAGUGAAUAAAAUUAGAAAAAAAUAAAAAUACUAGAAAGAUAAAUUCUUUCUUUAUUAAUGAUUAAUUUUAUAUUAAUCUUAGUAUUCUUUUUAAUUCUUUUUAACAGCUAAUUAAUUGCGGCUUUAUUCUUUAGAGUCCUAAGGUAGCGAAAUUCCUUGUCCACUAAAUAUGGUCGAGCAUGAAUGAAUGAAUGAUACAACGGCUGUCUCGAGAUUAAAUUCAGUGAAAUUGUAAUAACUGUGCAGAUACAGUUUAUCUUCAGUGGGACGGAAAGACCCUAGCAGCUUAACAAUAAUUAGAAAUAGUUUUAAAUAUUUAUUAAAUAAGCUAGUAGAUUAUACUAUACUUAAUUAUCUUUUUAAUAAAUGGUCUAUGACUAAUUAAUCUUCUUUUUUAAUAAUCAUAAUGAUUAUUUUAUUUAGAAUUUUAUUCUUUAAAACAAAUUACUUGUAAUUUAUUUCUAACUGGUUGUUUCAGUGGGGCGCUGUUCUCAAAAAAAAUAUCUGAGAAAUCCGAAGGUCUAAAAAAGAUUCAAGAAAAGUGAAUUAAAACUAUAGAAAAUCAAAUGAAUAAUUUUUGGUAAUAGUUUUUAGUUAGUAUAUUAGUAAUUAGGCUUAACUGAUAAGAUUUACCUAUCUAUCAGAUGCGUAAGCAGGGUAAAAUGACCCGUGUGUUUUUUAUGGUAAUGCACACGUUCAAUGGAUAAAGUUACGCUAGGGAUAACAGAUUAAUAGAGUACAAAAGUUCAUAUUGAGCUACUCUGUUUGAUACCUCGAUGUCGACUCAACCUAUCCUUCAGGUGCAAUCGCUUGAAAGGGUCCAACUGUUCGUUGGUUAAAAGGUUUCGUGAGUUGGGUUAAGUCCGUCGUGAGACAGGACGGUUCCUAUCUGCUGAAGAUAAUAGAAUUAAUUAAAAUUGUAAAUCUCGUACGCAAGGAUUGAUUUGCUCUAAUCUCUGAUCUUUCUGUUGUCAAAUCAAUAUAUUAAAUGAUUAUAUAUUUAACUUUAUUAGAUUAUUUCUAAUAUUAUAUGAUUCGCAUUGCAGAUACUAUUAAAUUAGAUAAAUAUAAGAAUUGAACACAUAUCAAAUUCGAAGAUUAUUUUAAUAAAUUCCUUUUAUUGACAUUGUCAAUAUGAAAAAAAUCUAGACUAGAUUAAUUAGGUUCAAUUGUGUUUACUUUUUGAAUUCUAAUUUUUUCUUAACUUAAAUGGCUUAUUGCCUCUCUUUUCCUUAUCA
rnacentral:rRNA from 1 species